rnacentral:lncRNA from 1 species
UCCGCCUGAUGUUGGCCAUUUAGGUAGAUAUGGCCGAGGUGGAGCCGCUGCUGGAGCUUCGCCUGAACACUUACAAAGAAGUUCUCAUUGGGGGCAUUCUCCGAUGAAGUCCCUCCGACGCUCAAAUCAAGAGAUGAAGAACAAUGAGAUGAGAGAACGAAGAGUCGAUUACAUACCUUGAGGAUCCCGGAGUUUUUAUUUAUAGGAAAAGAAUUGGAGUCGUAUCCAUCUUGAAAUCCUGAUAAUUUUUGAAUUUAUCAUACAGAUUAAUUCAGAUAAGAUAUUUUUCUUUUAUAGGAGACUCGAUUGCGGAGGAAUUAUAUUCUAUCUGGACUU